GGACUUGAAUACUUCGGACGGACAGUGGGGAUCAAGAUUAUGCCAGUUGGGAUUCACAUGAGGCAGAUUGAAAAUGUGCUUCAACUAGCAGAUAAAGAGUCGAGAGUUGCAGAACUUAAGCAACAAUUUGAAGGUAAAACUGUUUUACUUGGUGUUGAUGAUAUGGACAUUUUCAAAGGUGUCGAUUUGAAACUUCUGGCAUUGGAGGAAAUGUUAAAACAACAUCCUAAGUGGCAAGGAAGAGCAGUGCUGGUCCAGAUUGCUAAUCCAGCUCGAGCAAAAGGAAAAGAUAUUGAGGAAAUACAAGAAGAAAUUCAAACAAGCGUCAAGAGAAUCAAUGACAAGUUUAGACAGCCUGGUUAUGAACCCAUCGUGUUCAUUGAUCGCCCAGUUUCUCUUAGUGAACGGACUGCCUAUUACUCUGUUGCUGAGUGUGUAGUUGUAACUGCAGUAAGAGAUGGCAUGAACCUUACACCAUAUGAAUACGUUGUGUGUAGG
rnacentral:misc_RNA from 1 species